GGUGAAAUCUCUUCCUGGGACCAGGCACUGAUGGGACCCCAAAUUGCAGGAGGGUCCUGAGAAUUCCAGUCCUAGGGAGGAGGACCUUCAGGGAUCAAGUCCUUACUCGGGAUCCUGGACGCGAGAGCAGAAGACCAGAAUAGCCAAGAUGUGGACCUGAAAUGUCCGUGAAAGAUGAAUGGGUUAAAAAAAAAUGAGACACCUACACAAGCUCCUUGAAAAGGAAGGAAAUCCCGCCAUGGAUGGAAAUGGAGGACAUCAUGUUAAAUGAAAUAGUCCAGGCACAUGAGAAUCAAUUCCGCACAGUCCCACCUAUAUGUGGAAUCUGAACUCAAACUCAGGAACAGGAAGUUGAAGAGUCUGGAACCUGAACAGCUGACUCCUUUGACAACCCGGGACUCAGAUGCAGGUUUAAUUGGUACCACUCUGCUACCAGAAACCAAGGAAGUGAAACCAUGUGAGUAUCAUGGUGUUGUGGGAGAUGGGGACAGUGGGUCUGAGCUCCUUCCCUGCUGCCACAUGGGUACUGGCUGAUGCUCCCAGGCCCACUUUCCAGGCCCCUUCAGAUGGGCCCAUCCCAACCUGAGUUGAAUUAUGGCUGCUUCGAGGAAGUCAGGGAAUUAUCUCUUCACAGGUUCCUUCACUGAUUCACUUUGCAGGAAAGGUGAGCUCAGUGUUCUUGUUUCUCUGUGGUCAACUGAGUCUGUAGAGAUUUCUCUCACCCCUUCCACUCAUCCCUCUUUAUUAUUUUUGAGAUUCUAGAUGCAAAAUGCCCAAGAGAGCGCACAUCCCAUCUUCCUUUGCUUCCCCGCCCUGGGUGUCUCCAAAUCCUGAUAGCAAGAGCCACACCAGCCAGUUUAGCAUAAGAAAUUAAAUUAAUUCUCAUGCUCCAACUCCAGAUGUAAAUGCCUUUAUUAAUAAUUUAAAGCACAUUUAUUUAUGCAGUUUGAUAUUUUUCAGGUUCAAGGAAGCAAUUAAGUUUUGCUCAAGUUGCUGAUCAGCAGACAGCAUCACAAAAUGGCUCUUCUUCCCCUCUACUCUCCAGAGUUGCUGGGGAGACCCGGUGGCAGCUCCCUGCCUCACCUCCAGGGAGCGCUCUGCCUCCCUGAGAUACCUGCUCUUGAGGUGGAAGAGGGUCAGUGCAUCUGCUCCAGCCCCUCUGCAGAAAGGCCACCUUCUUUCUUUCUCAGAAUUGCCCUGGCUUAUUAAAUGAGAAGACCCGCAGAGGUUCCAGUCGCUGAAAGCUCUUCCCCACAACUUGUUCCUUGUCAGACUAUUAUCAUCAAAAAGUCACUUUCGACUGAGCUUGGGCGACUCUUCUGCCAGAAGACCCCAGGAAAGCUGGCUGCAGCAGCUCUGGAACCACAGCCCAGGGCCCCGUGCUGCAAGGCCCAUGCUAGACAAGGACAAGUCCAUUCCCAGGUCACCCUCUGCUUACCUGCACUUCCAGAGGAUGCCAGUCUGGCAUUGAGGGAGUUGGGCCUCAGGGAGUUGAUCCUGAGGUGAAAGUGAAGGACAAUUUCCAAACUGGGGGAGCACUGGCAACCAGCUCUCCCCAGGGGGGAAGAAAACCUGCCUGGUGAUAGCAUUUCCCAGUUCCUGUGGUCUAAAUAGCCCCACGAUGGCUGAUUUGGAGGCAACUUUUGGGAAGAGAAGCACAGUCUCAAGAGUGGACACGAUCAGUUCCAUCAGACCACCAACCCAAACUGACCAGGUGGCAAGGUGGUUAGCCACAGGCAGUGAACUGGCAGAAUGUGUACGCUCUCUGGUCAGGGAGGCGAUUCCUUAGGCUGAGCAUCCUGGGGAGGCUUCAAGGAACAAGUGGUUUUGGUUUGGGCACUGGGGAAGGCACAGGUUCCCUGGCAGAGCAGCGGAGGCAGGUUAUCCAGCUGGAGAGCAGCCCAGGCGAGCUCAUAAGUGCCCAUGCGCUUGAUGACCAGUGUUGGAGGCAAGAACACGGAGGCCCAAUUACAGAGGCCUUCCAAACUCUGCCAAGGAAGUUUGUCCUCUGUCCCAUCAGUGGUUGGGAGCCACGGACGCAUCUUAAGCAGACAACUGAUGUUAUGAGCUUUGUUUUACUUCUUUUGAAUCCUGACUUUGUCAUUUUUUUCUAAAAAUGAAUCGAGGAAUGCAUCAAACUACAGAGUCAUCUUUUCAACAGGUGAACAUCUUCCCAAUAUACCUUUCUAAGUAUGUACACGUUAGAUAGAGAUAGUAGAAAUAAAAAUUUUUAAAAAAUGGAAAUUAAAAAAAGGAAAACAGAGAAAGACCCAGGAAUUAGCUUCUGUUGAUGGUGUCAGGACUAUGUAUGAUGCUGUGACAGCAGGAACUAUGGCAGCCAUCUUGUGACCAUGAGGGAAGCUAAUGCAAGGCAGACUGAGGUAGGAGAGGAGAAAGAAGAAGAGAAACUAAGUUCUGGUGAUGUGUAGCUGCUGGCUUUGACAUAGAGGUCACCAUGUCACAACUCUGAUUUUCACACAUAUGCUUUUCCAAUCUACGUAGAUUGAAUUCUCAAUACACAAACUCAGUUGUAAUGAAGCAAGACAGUGUAAUAAUGGGGCAAAGGCUCAGGCUUUGGAGUCACACAGAGCAGUACUUGAAUCAUAGCUCUGUGGAGGGGAGUUUCUGGAUUCCCUGGGGCCUCAUUUUUUCCAUCUCUGCA